rnacentral:misc_RNA from 1 species
UUGAAUAAAGCUUGGUUAGGUUGUCGCUGGCCCUCCGGGGCAUGUGCACGCCUGACGCCAAUCUUUUCGCCACCUGUGCACCUUUUGUAGGCUUGGAUAAAAAUAUGUCUCGAGGAAGCUCGGUUUGAGGACUGCCGUGCUGCAAAAGCCAGGCUUUCCUUGUAUUUUUCUAGCCUAUGCAUUUUUAUUAUACACUCGGUAUGUCAUGGAAUGUUAUUUGGUUGGCUUAAUUGCCAGUAAACC